rnacentral:rRNA from 1 species
AUUGAACGCUGGCGGAAUGCUUUACACAUGCAAGUCGAACGGCAGCACGGACUUCGGUCUGGUGGCGAGUGGCGAACGGGUGAGUAAUGUAUCGGAACGUGCCCAGUCGUGGGGGAUAACGUAGUGAAAAUUACGCUAAUACCGCAUACGAUCUAUGGAUGAAAGCGGGGGAUCGCAAGACCUCGCGCGAUUGGAGCGGCCGAUAUCAGAUUAGGUAGUUGGUGGGGUAAAGGCCCACCAAGCCAACGAUCUGUAGCUGGUCUGAGAGGACGACCAGCCACACUGGAACUGAGACACGGUCCAGACUCCUACGGGAGGCAGCAGUGGGGAAUUGUGGACAAGGGGCGAAAGCCUGAUCCAGCCAUUCCGCGUGCAGGAUGAAGGCCCUCGGGUAGUAAACUGCUUUUGUACAGAACGAAAAGGUUUCUACUAAUACUAGGAGCUCAUGACGGUACUGUAAGAAUAAGCACCGGCUAACUACGUGCCAGCCGCCGCGGUAA